rnacentral:tmRNA from 1 species
GGGGGUGUACUGGUUUCGACGGGGAUUUAGAAGUUAGGUAAGCCAUUCGCAGUUUCUGGGGCUGCGUCACCAACCUGGAACAAAAUUUAAACGCAAACAAUAAUAAAUUAGCUUUCGCUGCCUAAUGGCAGCCGUCUAACCUUAGCCACUCGAGACUAAGCAAUUAGGCGUAACCUAAGUCGAGGCACUUUUCUGUCAAAGCUUUGAGAUAGAAGAAGAAUUCAUGAAGCUACUGAAGGU